UUGCCUGGAAGAGGAGGCGUAGGGACAGGUCUAGAGUGUGCAGUCUAUGGAUCUGGGACAAGGACCCCAACCAGGGACGCAGACUUAGAGGGGCUGGUGGAGCUUAGGGGCCGCCUCAGACAAUGAGCAGCCCCUUGCCAGCUGCUGGGGAGAUGCUCUAUGCACAAUCUCUGGCUCCUGAUCACUCUUUCUUGUUCACAUGGUGCCCUGAGGGGUGGCCUGGCAGGACACCUGGCAGGCAGCCACAGGACAGGGUGAUUACCAGUGAAUGGAGAGAGCCAGGAGAAGGCAGCUGAGGUGGCGCAGCCCCUUCUCUGCCCUCUGGGCAGGACUGUGGGAUGCUCUGCCUGAUGAACAGCCUCAACCUGCCAGCACAGAAAGAAGCCCAGCUCAGGAAUGACAGCCUGCCCCAGGGAACGGGGCUUGCAUGUGCCUGUGUUACAGCCUGCCUGCACAGGCAAGAACCAGCCUCCAUAGAAACUCUGCUGCAGGACCUUCGGCAGGCCUAUACGUAGCACAGCUGGGGACAGCCUGGUCCUGCACUCACGACCCUGAGGGAGGCCAGCCCUUAUCAGGUAGCACACAUCAGCCGGUCUGUGCAGAGGGGCCCUGGCGGCUCCAGUUUCAGGCUGCGGAUCCAGGCAGGCGGUGGUGCUGCACCAAGGCUUCUGCAGGGGAUGAGGAAGAAACUCUAUUCCUCCCUUUUUUUUUUCCCCUUUGUUCAAUGCCUGCUUAGAUUCGGUGGCUGCAGAGCAGAGGCCCCUGAGGAGAGCCAAGCAGUGAGGCAUACAGCAGCCUCCAGUCCCCUGCAUGCUCAGCACUUCGUGGCAUGCUCUGGUGUGUGUAUGCACGAUAGGUUUCUUGGUGGCUGCAUGCCUGGCAGCAAGAACAGGGGUGUCCCGGGAGUUUCUGUGCGAGUGUGUAAGAGAAAAUUGUGC